CUGCACUCAAACUAUGUAAUUUUUUCGGGUUAUUCAACAUCUUACCCCAUGUAGAAUCAAUACUGAGAAUAUCGUCAGAAGGGUGAUAGGCACUUUAAGUCUUUGGAGGAUUCCUUUGAAUGGAUUAAUAGUAGUCUAUUUGCUAUAUUUGAAAAAAUGUUUCAAUUGAGAAGCUAAAGUCACACUCAGCUAUGCCUCAUGCAACUCUUACAUUUCUUUUGUGCUUAGGAACUUUCCUGGUCUAUGCAUGACUCAAUUGAUGCAUCCUAAACAUGAAUUCUUUCCUUUACGAUAUAGCAAAACCAAAAAGAUCCUUUGUUAGUUGGAAAAAAAAAACUCUUAGGCCUAGGGAAAACGUCGAACUUUCCAUGCACCAUGCUCUCAUUAAAAACAAUGGAUAUCAGGUGAUAAUGAGGCAGCAUUCUUUGAUGUAAUUAAGUUCGGUGCAUGGAAAGUUCGACGUUUGCCCUAGGCCUUAUCUUUUUAGUGCUUUAACUCUUAUCUUAUUAGAGUGAAGGCAUUUAACCCGCAAAAUAAAAAUUAUUAGUCAACGUGUAAUAGUUAAAUAGACACAAAAGAAAACAAUGGAAUUAGGAUCUACUAAUGUGUAUUAGUCUAAUAUAUAUUUCACGGGUUAAAUGACUUCACUCUAGUGCUAUAACUCUUAUCUUAUUAGUGCUUUUCAAUCAGGUUGUCAUACAGUCCAUAGAGUAAUGGAUGUAGUCUUGCACAUGAUUCACAUGCUAUUGAUAUUAGAGCAUUCAUUAAACUUAAGCUAUGUCAUAAUGAAUUAUGGUCUGCAUAUUGUUAGUGUCAUAUUCAUCAGCAUUAUGGCUAUGAAUAACAGCUGAAUAACACUAACUAGUAACAUGUUAACCAUUAAUAUUAAUCUUAUUAUAAGUUUGUAUUAUAAUAAUGUGGUCUGUAAGUUUUUUUUUCAUUUUGUAAUUGAAAAUUAGAGUGUUUUAGAAGUUGCUUGCUAAAGGAUUUUUGCUUUGGAUGCAAAUUAUAUUCAUCUUGAGUCCUA